GGGGAUGUAGCUUAGUGGUAGAGCGCACGCUUUGCAUGUGUGAGGCCCCGGGUUCAAUCCCCGGAAGCUCCA
rfam:Ciona savignyi cont_56347, whole genome shotgun sequence.